AUUGAACGCUGGCGGCAGGCCUAACACAUGCAAGUCGAGCGAGCGGCGGACGUGUGUGUCAUGUAUGGGAAUCUGCCCGAUAGAGGGGGAUAACUACUGGAACCGGUGGCUAAUACCGCAUACUAUCGGAUGAAACCAUAUGGGCUUAUCGAGUAGGUGGGGUAAAGGCUCACCUAGGCCACGAUCUCUAGCUGGUCUGAGAGCAUGAUCAGCCACACUGGGACUGAGACACGGCCCAGACUCCUACGGGAGGCAGCAGUGGGGAAUAUUGCACAAUGGGCGCAAGCCUGAUGCAGCCAUGCCGCGUGUAUGAAGAAGGCCUUAGGGUUGUAAAGUACUUUCAGCGGGGAGGCGUUACCCGCAGAAGAAGCACCGGCUAACUCCGUGCCAGCAGCCGCGGUAAUAC
rnacentral:rRNA from 1 species